AUUGAACGCUGGCGGCAGGCCUUACACAUGCAAGUCGAGCGGUAACAGCACUCCGGUUCCUGACUACUGCGGAGGACGGGAGUAUUACAUCGAAACAUGCGCAGGGGUGGGGGGUAUCUCCUCGAGAGAGUAGCUCAUAUCCCGUAUACGUUAUGGAGGAGAGCAUGGUACCUCUGGGCAUUUCGCGCUUACAGCUGCUCAGAGGUCAGAUUAGCUAGUUGGUGGGAUAAACGCAUACCAAGGCGACGAUCCGUAGCUGGUCUGAGAGGACGAACAGUCACACUGGAACUGAGACACGGUCCAGACUCCUACGGGAGGCAGCAGUGGGGAAUUUUGGACAAUGGGCGCAAGCCUGAUCCAGCAAUGCCGCGUGCAGGAUGAAGGUCUUCGGAUUGUAAACUGCUUUUGUUUGGAACGAAAAGCAGUAAGCUAAUACCGGAGUGUCUUGACGGUACCGUAAGAAUAAGCACCGGCUAACUACGUG
rnacentral:rRNA from 1 species